rnacentral:misc_RNA from 1 species
GAUGAAGAACGCAGCGAAAUGCGAUAAGUAAUGUGAAAUGCAGAAUUCAGUGAAUCAUCGAAUCUUUGAACGCACAUUGCGCCCAUUAGCAUUCUAGUGGGCAUGCCUGUUCGAGCGUCAUUUCAACCCUUAAGCCCUGUUGCUUAGCGUUGGGAGCCUACAGUACUGUAGCUCCCCAAAGUUAGUGGCGGAGUCGGUUUCACACUCUAGACGUAGUAAAUUUUUCUCGUCUGUAGUUGAGCCGGUCCCCUGCCGUAAAACACCCAAUUUAUCAAGGUUGACCUCGGAUCAGGUAGGAAUACCCGCUGAACUUAAGCAUAUCAAUAAGCGGAGGA